CUGGAGGAGACGAUACAGAACGCCCAACCUCGAGGAAGCUGAUUUAGUGAGAGAAGAGAUGAGAAGUUUCCAGUUAAGAUUUUGAGUUAACCCUAGAACACUAAACCGAGUCCAUAUGGAUUCAGGCUCCAUGCGGUUUCUGGGAAUUCUUUGUGUGGUGUCCACAUAAAUGACUAAUUGGCAACUUUUAUUGUUUACACCAUUAGUCACUAGCCGGAUGCCAUAGAGAGUGCACGUGCUUCCCUCCCACGCCUUUGCAGUUUUCCAUGCUGUAACCAUGAAACGAAGCAGAUACAUUAGUGAUGAGGUGUUGGAGCUACUAGUCAACUCCGACGAUUUCCAGCAUGACCUUGACAGUACCGCAGGCGAGGCAGCAAGAUAUGUAUGCAGCUCGGGAUUGGAAGGCACCUGGCAAUAUCGAGUGAUGCAUGUAGUAUAUAUUUCUAGCUUUAGUUUUUAGUAUCAGUUAAUUUCAUGAUCUCAGGAACCAAAAAAUUAAGUACUUUUUUUUCUUAAGAUACUUUUUUUUAUAAUUAUUCUGGAAAUUCAUUUUUGUUUAUAUUUCAUUCAUUUUUGUGUUUGCAGGCAUCUACGAGCCUUAUACUUUCAGUUUAGCA